UACAGGCAGCAACCACAAUACGCGCCGCCAUUCAACAGGUCGGACACGCAGCGUUGCAACAAGCGAGCAUCAUAGCAACGCAACACCACAGCCACACCAGGUGGAUGGAACCACUAGCGAGCAACAGCAAGGAGGGAGGAGGAACUAGCGGUAUCGCUGGAUCUGGUGGUGGUCCGUUCGCCCCUCGCCGUCGUCUCGCUGGUGCCGGCGGGCGUGCGGCACGCUGGAGACGGAGCAAUGCUGCCGGACGUUCGCCUCCACGCCGUCGCGCCGUGCAAGGCACGAGAGACUCGCUGGCUCUGGGUAGGCGAAGGAGCGGCGGUGGCAGCCCCGGCCGACGCCGCCGCCGCCGCCGCCGCGCGUCGUUGGGGAAUCAAUCGGGAUAGAAGGAACCCUUGUGGGCCUGUGGCUGUGGAAUAGAGAAAGAAGACCGCGGCCGGGCCCGUGGGCCGGGCCGAGAAAACGGCCUGCAGGCCCACCUCGUUCCAAAGGCGACGGCAGAGCUCCCAGCGAUGGAGCACCUUGAAAUACCCCGCCUUGGCGCCCGAGCGUAACCGUCUCUCUCAACCAACACCGCGCGCCUUGCCUCUCCUCCUCUCCUCUCUCCGCCUCGCCAGAGCGCCAGCAAACCAACAGCUCAUCACCCCCUCUCCACCGCCUCCAGCGCGCGGCGCCAGCGGCGGCGGGCGGCCGAUGGAGCACUUCCACGACGGGCACCACGUGUGGCUGCGGAGCCGCGCGCUCGGCACCUACCUGCACGCCGACACCGACGGGCAGGGCGUCACCCUCCGCGACAGCCGCGCGUCGCUCAACGCGGCGUGGGCGGUGCAGCACCUGCACCACGGCUACGAGCUGUACCUGCUCCUCCACGGCGCCGCCUACGGCCGCUACCUCGCCGCCAGCAACGCGCGCCCGCCGCUCGAGAUCCCAGGCUUCCGCGGCUGCCGCGUCGCGCAGCGCGGCUACGACUCCCUCGAGGUGGGACCCAUCAUGUGGCAGGCCUUCGGGGUCGGGGUCCUCCCCGGGGACGACCACGUCCAGCUCCGCGACGUCGACGGCCGCUACCUCCGCGCCAACGGGAAGCACCUCCCCUGGAACCACGGCGCCAGCGUCGACGAGUUCGACCACCUCAGCGACAUGAGGCACUGGGUCGUCGAGCCCAUCCCCGCCAGGGACGGCAUGCCUGCCCUUCCAGGCCAGAUCAGGCCCAGCUUCCUCCAGAACCUCUCCAAGUUCGUCUUCGGCCGCGUGGUGGCAGCCGCAGACCGCCGAAGCACGCGGCUCAUUCGGUUCGUGCGGGCGGACGACGACGGCUUCUACCCCGAGGAGGAGGAGCGCUGGGCCGAGAUCCCGCUCACGGGGAGGUCCGUGCAGCACCUCAGGAACCAGUUGGCCCUCGGCGUCGCCUCCUUCGACAUCAUCAUGUGCGUCCGAGCCGGACGCUACGGGAGGCUCACCCCACUCGUCGUCGACCUGCCCAGCGGCCGCAAUGGCGACAUCAUCGAGAUCGUCGUCUACAUGGUCGGGACACCAGCCGCCAAUGGGCUGCGCCACCCGGAUGUUGAUGCAAAGUAGGGAAAGAUCAGAGCAGGAGUCCUGACAGUUCGCCUCUUCAGAUGUUUUGCUGCCUCGGACAUGACGACAACAGAUCCAGACGCUUACUAGUGCAUACAGAUAGAUAGAUAUAGGUUCAGAAAACUCAGCAGCUCCUGUGUUUCUUUUGCUAGCUAAACUUGAUACAAACUCCUGAUAGGAGGAACCUAUCUGUCUUGGCCUCGCGGUUCAAAGAUUCAGAACUGCUGAAUGCGUUCAGCGCAGUGGCUGCACAUGUUUUUAGUGACACUGGAUGUAGUUGCUGCAGUGUUGCUCUUCUGACAUCCAUCAAUGCGAUGUGGUUGCUACUGCUUCCUG